ACACUCUGGUUUCUCUUCAGAUUGUAUAAAUCUUUUGCCUUUUACUAAAGAUUUCUGUGGAGAGGAACAAUUCUGAGUCUUUUUUUUUUUUUUGUAGAGACAAGAGUCUCAC
rnacentral:snRNA from 1 species